GGUCAGAUAGCUUAAUUGGUAGAGCAACCCAGGCAAUUAUCAUAUGAUCAUUAUCAUCAGCUUAUGGGUGGAUUCGGGUUCGAAUCCCGAUCUGACCU
rnacentral:tRNA from 1 species